rnacentral:lncRNA from 1 species
CUAACUUAUAUCACUUUGUGAGCAAAUAGAAUCUCACAAAGAGAGAGAGAGAGAGAGAGAGACGAUAAUCAACCAUCUGAAAUCAUACGAGGGUUGACUUCAUUUCACAUACUAUAUCACUUUGUGAGCAAAUAGAAUCUCACAAAGAGAGAGAGAGAGAGAGAGAGAGAGACGAUAAUCAACCAUCUGAAAUCAUACGAGGGUUGACUUCAUUUCACAUACUACUUUUACCGCCAUCUUCCUCACUAACUAACUUAUUGAUCUGGUGCAGCAAUAUAUCGAAGUCAUCUUGGGUCUUGAUGAGGCUGAGCCGAACAUAGCUACUGUUAGCACCAAACAAAGUACCAUUACGCCCAAUGAUGCCAG